rnacentral:lncRNA from 1 species
CCUGUCGCCGCGGUGCCACCCGAGGGCUGCAGAGCCAGCAGCUUCGCAGAGAGAGUGAGUACGGAACCCCUCCUGCCAGGGGGGUUUUCCUGAGAUCCCUCGGCUGAAAUGCGGAAUCCCCCACACCCACCCCCUCCCCUGCACUGCCCUGAUACACCCACCCCCUUCUCCGGAGCCCACCUUCCUUCUCCCGCACAGGGGAGAAUCCUGGCAGCACCGAGCUGAGCCCGAACCCCUGCCAGAGCCAGAGCCAGAGCCAGAGCCAGGGCCAGAGCCAGGGCCAGGGCCAGGGCUGGGGCAGGGCAGAGCAAACCUCUGCACUGAUAUUUCACUUGACUAGCAGAACCGUAGGACUCCACUGCUCAGCUUUUGGUGUAAUUCCUGUCUCCUUUACACCACCCUCACGGGGCUCACACCCAGCAGAUCCGGCUGUUCGAGUUCUCGGAGAAAGCUGCAGCUCAGGAGUUCAUCUCUGAUCACAUAAACUGUUUCGAAGGUGAAGGGAGCCAUGGAGUGAUCCUAUUUUUAUUCAGUUUACUUUUCUCUAGGACACUUGAAAGGGUCCGGGAGGAUUUGGGCUGCACAGCUGCUCUGCUGAGCGCCAGCUCUGGAAACGUCACCUGCACAGAGGCCCUGCUCUGCCUGCUGCUGACCGGACGGGCGAGCCCGCGGGGGCUCGGCGGCCAACGGGGGGGGGGGGGGGGGGGGGGGGGGGGGGGGGGGGGGGGGGGGGGGGGGGGGGGGGG